AGAAAUUGUUCAUAAAACAGAAAUUAUGCCUCUUUUUGGAGAAGGGUAGAGGAAAAUGGAAAUGUUUUACUAGAAAACCUUCAUCAUCAGGCAUCUAAGUGAUGUUUGAACAUUUGAAUAAAUUUGCCAGCUACUGAGGAAACCAAAUAUCAACAACAGCAUUGACAAAUUCUUUCUGAUGGUCUAAAAGAGUGGUAGGCGCUGUUGUAAAAGUAACACUAAGAAAAUUUCUGAUGAUAUUUCUGAAGAACCAAAGACCUCAGACCCAUUGAUCUAAUAAUGCUAAAAAAUGGGAGACUAAGCUGAGGAAAACAAUAUUGACUCUCUGAACAGAGAUUUGUGUCAGAUUCUGAAAGGUCUGACACUAUGUAAAGACGUGGGACACUGAUACAAGAAAUUUUCUAUGGAAACGGUAUGUAAGAAAAAUCCAGUUGUGCCUUAUGCAUGUCCAUUCUAUCUGCACCAACUGGAAGAGGAAGUUCAGAAGUUCAAGGUUUUCCAGGAAUAGCAGGAUUGUAAAUUGCACAUUUAGAAGUAAACGGAGUGA